rnacentral:rRNA from 1 species
CGCAUCUGUGCAUGCAGCAUAUCAAUAAGCGGAGGAAAAGAAACUAACAAGGAUUCCCCUAGUAACGGCGAGUGAAGCGGGAAGAGCUCAAAUUUGAAAUCUUAAAGGGUUUCCCUUUACGAAUUGUAGUUUAAAGAAGUGUUUUCUGUUGAGGUUUUGGUAAAAGUUCUUUGGAAUAGGACAUCAUAGAGGGUGAGAAUCCCGUAUUUGACCUUUACUUUCAACUUUGUGAUACACUUUCAAAGAGUCGGAUUGUUUGGGAAUGCAGUCCAAAAUGGGUGGUAAAUUUCAUCUAAAGCUAAAUAUUGGCGAGAGACCGAUAGCGAAUAAGUACCGUGAGGGAAAGAUGAAAAGAACUUUGAAAAGAGAGUUAAACAGUACGUGAAAUUGUCAAAAGGGAAGCGUUUGACACCAGUGUUGUUUUUCUGAAAAUCGAUUAAAGAACUGUUUAUGCUAAGUUGUUUAGACUUUAUCAGCUAACUGUUUAGUUUUGAGCUUUUCUUUAAUGCACUUUUCAGUUAACAAGUCAACAUCAAUUUCUUUUGCUGUAAAAAAGCUUGAGGAAGGUGGCUUGAGAUUCGUCUUAAGUGUUUAUAGCCUCUUGCCUAUGCAGUCGGAGAGAUUGAGGUCUGCAGCGUAGAUCCUUCGGGGCUAAAUGCAUUUGUGCUAAGUUAUAACAUUUUAUAGACAACUUGUUGACUAUGAUUUGUCUUGUAGCUUACUCGCUUAUGUUAUUUUACCUACGCUUAGGAUGUUGAACGCGCACAGAGUCUC